UUUCCGAAGCAUUACGAUUGAGGUCAUCAUGAUCAGGUACAGGUAGAGUUCCAUUGAUAAAGGGAAGCUUGUUCUUAACACCCAAAGCACGCUGCAUUGAUCUACUCCAUGCAAGAUAAUUGGAUCCAUUGAACUUAGGAGACACAAUCACCGAAUUAGGUCCUUCACUAUGAUGAACAAAGAAAGCAGAAUCAGUAUCAUUGUUGCUGUUGUUGAUUCGAAGCACGAACCAUCAUUCCAAAUCAGAGGAAGAAGAUGAAGAUCUUCGUAAGAAAUAAAUGCAGAGAAGCAAUACGCAAAGCUUGCGAAGGAAGAAAGAGAAGAAUCUCAAUACAAAAUUGAGAACAAAACAAGAAGAAUCAUGAAGAGAAAGAGAAAGAAAACUGAUACCAUAUUAUAAAUGAUAGAAAUAAUAUGUAAUUGCUUGAUGAAUCAGAGAGUACAACAACUAUUUAUAGGUAGUUGAUGCUGUACAAUACAUAUGAUGGACUAGCAUCAGCAUAUUAAAGCUACUACUAAGGUAAGCUAAGUUGCUUGUGGUCUAAGCUAUCUAAACCACUCUUAUUAUGUAAUAUAAAUAAAUCCUGAAUUAUUAAAAAAAUAAAAAAUAAGGAGUCCAACAACAACUCUUACAACAUCAAUUUAUUAAAAAAAAAAAUUACAUAAUCGAAUGAUACUUUUUGCCUUUCACAAUAUUUCAUUUAAUCCUUUGGUUCCUCUUCCUCAUAGGAUUUCAGCACCAUAUCCAUAUCACCAUGUUUCUUAAAGAAGCGAGUGAGCAACUCCUUAUAUUCGUAAGACUUAUAAAUAGGUGGAUUGUGUUCAUCAAUGAGAUCUUUUGUUGGUUCAAUGAAACAAUCACCUGAUGGAGCUAUAAAAAAGGCAGCAGUUGUGCGAGCUUGUUCUGAAUUUGUCACAACUCUAUGUUCCACACUUUUUAGCUUACCAUUAGUCAUUAUCUGUAUCCAAUAUUGUAACCCAUCACAAGUCAACAAAAUUUACCAAAUUACAUAAAUUAAUAAGAGACAUGAUUGAAAUGAAAAAAAUACAAAAAAUUUCCUUCAUGUGAGAUAGUGAUAAAUUAGUCCCUAGGGUUAUUAAUUUUUAAAGAAUUAAUGCAUUAAGUGUACCUGCAAGGCGUAGCCUAUGUUGAUAACAAAUGCAUGAGGAAUAGCAUCAACAGCAAUCCACUCUCCAUCCUUAAGUACUUGAAGGCCACAUAUAUCUUCUUGUUGUAAAACGGUUAUGAGGUAAGCAUCAAAGUGUUUGGUUAUACCAAGUGUUAAACUUGGAUCAGGGCAUGGUGGAUAAUGAUUAAGUUGGAUAACUAAUGAGUCACUAAGAUUAUCAUUGUCGAAAUAUCCACACUCCAAACCAAGCCCUUCACUAAUCAAAUUCAUGAUCCUUGAACCCAACUCCUUAAUUUUAGUUGAAUAAUCCCCAACACACUUUCUGCAAGAAAAAAAUGUCUAUUAGAUCUUUAACUGCAUGUGCAAAUUAGGGGUGACAAUGUGAAUAAAUUGAAUACAAUUUAACUUGGAUUGUGUAUUGGAUGGAUUGAACAACCCAUUAAUCUAUUUAUAAUCAACUACCCACUUAGGUUAGUCUGGUGGUAUUGACUUAGGACAUGAGAUUGUGCUCCUCCUCAAGAUCUCCCAAAGUCUUAUGACCAACGGCUCAUAAGGGUUUGCACUUGCCCGCAGCUCCUGACGCCCGCUUGGCGGGCGGAGCGCUCGUUAUCCUUACAGUUCUCUAUGCCGGGGCCCCCUCCCAUUGCUCUAGCCAUAAGUUGUGGCAACUCCAGCUCGAAACCAAAGGGGCCCGCCCUGCAAGGCUAGAGUGAGCUCAGUGGUCAUGUUUAAUUCUCCCCGAUACUAAUUUGAAUGAGUUAAUUUAGCUUUUUCAAAAAAAAAAAAAUUAUAAUCCAUGGAAAACUUCCUAAAACAACUAAAUCAAACCAUCAUCCGGACCAAACAAUCACCUAAUCCAUUUAUUUAUAUUUUGUCCAAUCUAUGCAUAAAAUACUUUAAAAGGAAAAACCUAUUACAAUAUUUUUUUUUUAGUACCACCAGAGCAUCUCCAUUGUGGCUGCAAGUGGUUCUCGGACAUCAAUUUUUGUGGAAAACUGGCGACUUUGUGUUAUUCCUAAAUCAUGACCGUCUUAUUUACCUAAUACGUUGUGAUGCAUUUGAUUUACCAAAAAAACAAAAACUAUGAAUGUUUUAGUUCCUAUUUAUAAGUCUUGUGUGUUUUAAACAGUUAUUAUGUAAUUAAUGUUUGUAUACGAUUGGUUCUUGAAUCGGAUGCCGAGUUUUCGAAAAAAUGUUUAUAUAUGAUUAUUAGAGAGAGAGAGGGAGAGAGGGAGGGAGGGAGAGAGAGAUCAAAUUUAAUUCAUGUUUUGUUAAAAAAAUUAUAUUUUUUUUUUAGAAAAAAUUUCAUUUAAAAAUAUGAAUGUUACACGAGAGUUGACUUCAAGGCAGUGAUCAAAUGUGAUGAUGCAAAUAUUUUAGGAGAAUAAACUCGAAGAAUUUUUUUGGAUAUAUUAAAACACAAAGUUGAUAUAUUUAUAGAGAUAAAAACAUAUUUAACCAUAGUGUUAAUAUUUGGAAAUGAAUAAUAAAUGUAUUUAAAAAUUUGUUGAGGGUUUUUAAUUAUGGACGAGCAAACAUUUUAAAAUUGUCUUAUAAUUAAAGGUCAAAGAGAAUAUGACAAUUCACGAAUUAAUAACCAUUCUAAUGUGAGCAAGCUUAUACUUAUCUUAAUUUGGGCAUAUACUAAUGAAUUUACUCAUCUAACUAAUCAGGGGCGAAUCCACCAUAGAGCUAUGUGUGGCUCUAGCCACACAUGAUUAUACCCUCUUUUUUUUUUUUUUUUUAUUUUUCUUUCAUAUACUAGAUCUCAAACAAUUGAUUAUAACAGUUAUUCUUUCUUUCACAAAAAAAAAAAAAAAAGUUAUAUUAUAUAUAUAUAUAUAUAUAUAUAUUUCUAAAAAAAAAAACAGUUAUAUACUAUAUAUAUGUCUAAAACAUGUGAAGAUUCUUUAUAUGGUCUAUCAGUAUGUAUGGUUGCGUAUAUCAAUACGCAUACAAGACUCUUUUUAGAAAAAAAAUUGUCACUUUUUAUAAGACUGUGUUGAUAUAUAUUUUUAAAUAUAUUAAUUAAUUAUUUACCAACAAACUCCUAUUUAUUUUAUAUUUUUUUCUUCAAUCAGUAUUAAAUACCAUGUUGAAAACAUACACUAACUCUUUCUCUUAAAGAAUAAAAUUGUAAAAACAAUAGCAAUUACAAACAAACUUAUUACCACUUUCAAUUUUCUUAACUCCCGUUAUUUUUUUAAAAGGACCCUAUAAUUAAGGAUAGAGGGAGUAUGAUUUAAUUCAUAGUUUCUUUUAUAAUUCAGUCACACCUAAACAUUAUAUCUAGAUCCAUGCAUGUAACUAAUGUACUUUGUUCAAUCAUUGUUAUAAACAAAACUUUAUUUUGUAUAUUCAUUGAAUAAUAGGUAGUAUUAAUUAGAGAGAUUGCAAGUAGUGAAAUUGUUAUGUCGACUAUUUAAUUAAGUUAAAGACUAGUUAAUAGCUCAAGUAAUAAUCAAUUUGAGAUAGAGAACUAUUACAAAUGAGACCGACCAAGUUUUCAUGCAUUUACCUGUAUGUAGUUGGAUAUUCAGGCCACAAGUGUUGCCACUGUUCCAAAGGAUAAGCUGGGUGUCUAAGAGUGUCCCUCCAAAGAUGAACCUUAUCAAAUUCAUAUUUGAAAGUGCUAGAAAACAUCUUACAUGUCUUCAAAUUGUUCUCAGGAUACAAGUCGUGUUUGUAUUCAUUAGGCUUCUCAAACACCUCCUUAAAAACACUCAUUGCUUCCUUCAUUUCAUCCAACGAGAGACCAUGAUUGAUAACCUAUUUUAAUCAAAAAAAAUGUCGGGAUUUUAUAUUAGACACAUUGUCGGAGCCACGUUGUGGCCAGGGGGUUCAAUUGCACCUUCUCAACUUUUCAUAUUUACACCUAUUUUACUAUAUUUUCAUUGUCUUGAACCCCCUCAAAAUUAAGCCUUGCACCAUAUUGAAUUGACUCUCUCCUCUCUCACUAGGAAAAAGUUGGUAAAGUUGUGUCUGUGCAUACAGUGUGACAAUAAUACAAUGCAGAUUGCCCAAAGUUUAAGUCAAAGUAAAAAAUAUCAUUUUUUUUAACAGCAAAUUUUAUUUAAAAAUCAGAUCCUUGCUCAAGACGAACAGAGACAGGUGAUAUUAUAAAUAUCAUUUUAUAUUAUAAAUUGAUGAUAGAUUGGAAUCAAAACAAAAUAUCUUGAAUGGAAAUUAAAUCUGGAUAUUUAGCAUAGAAAAUGUAUAGAAUAUUUAGCAUUGUGUUUUCAAAUUUUAACUGAUAAAUAUUCUAUGAUGGAAAAAAAUGUAAGAUGUGGAAAUUUUUCUUAAAUAAAUAUAAAUAUAUUUUAAUAUUUAUAAUUUUACGACAUUCAUCUUUAAAUAUAUAAUUUUUCUAUUGUCUCUAAAUAGGCAAACAACUAUGUUGAUCAUCCAUGAAUGUGUGAGACACUCUUAUACUCUUUAAAUGUAUCGAAAAUACAUUUAUAGUGCAUCUUUUUUUGUGUGGUAAUUUUAUAGAUUAAAUUGAACAAUGACAAAACAUAUUCUAAGAUAUAAUUGACUAUCAAAAAACUAAUUUAAUAAAAGAGACGUUUAGAGAUCAAUAUGAUGGCGAAAUACACAUUCAAGGUAAAAAUUUGGUAGGUCGAAAUUUUGAACCCCUUAACUUAGGGUCCUGGCAACACAACUAAAGUUUGCUUAGUAUAUUUUAGAGGAAAAAUAUAUUUAAUCUUAAAAUAGAAAGAGUAUUUAGUAUGAAUACCUGAAAGAAUCCAAACUCCUCAGAAGCCUUGAUAAUUUGUUGUAUUGUUUUGGUUCUAUCCCCAUUUUGUGCUUCACUAAGAUCAAUUGUUGGGAUGGUUUUGUUAAUUGGGAUUUUGAAAUUCCCUGGUCUUGUUUCUUGUGGGAAUACAUAGUCCUCAGGCACAGAUUUGAUGCUUGACCGGUUUGAAAUAAAUUUCUCCNUUUUUUUUUUUUUAAGGAAUCAUGCUUUAUAAUUUUUAUUUUUUUUGAAGAAGUUAAAUUAGCUUAUCCAAAUUGAUACCGGAGAGAACCAUCAGACCAAUUCAAGUGGGUUCAUGUUUUACAAUGUUGUUUCCUUUUUGCAUCAGACAUGCUAAUUGUAAAACAUAAAUAUUUGAAUCAAUCAUUAAGUGUAUUUUAACCACUUGAUUAAGUGGUUAAACUCAUAUCCUCAUGUAAAUCAACGAGAGUGUAACCUUUAUAGCCUGACUUGUAUCCCAAGAAAAAAGUUUUUCUAGCUCUAGAUUGAAGUUUAGUUCUAUGGACAGAAAGAGAAGUAGCAUAACACAGACAACCAAAAACUUUGAAAGUUGAAAUGUCAGGUAAUUUGUAGUAAAGAACUUGAUAAGGACACUUAUGAUUAAGGGUAUGAGUGGUGAUACGGUUAAUGAGGAAAAUUGCAUGAGAAACUGCAUAAGAUCAAAAAGAGGAGGGUAGUUUGGAUUGGAAUAAAAAAGUGCUCUACCAACAUUUAAAAUGUGUUGGUUUUUUUUUUCUACCCUACCUUUUUGUUGAGGAGUAGCAACACAAGAUUUUUGAUGGAUAAUGCCAAGGGAAUCAUAAAAGGUUGGAAGGAUAAACUCAUGGCCAUUGUCUGAUCUGACAUCUUUAGGAGUGAUAUAAAACUGGUUUUGAAUCAUGGCAAUGAAACAUUGGACAUGGUGAGAAACUUCAGCUUUGGGUUCAAGGAGAAUAAUCCAAAGAAACCUAUUAUGAUCAUCAACAAUGGUAAGGAAGUAUUUGUGACCAUGAACAGAAGGUACAGAUAAGGGACCCCAAAUAUCAAAGUGUAGCAAUUCAAAAUUAGAAGAUGCAUUAGAAUUACUAGAUUCAAAAGGAAGAUGCUUUUGUUUAGCAAAAUGAUAGACAUCGCAAAUUGAAUUAUUAUCAGAAACAAUAUUGGAGUACAAAGUUGACAUCUUAUUCACUCUUUGAUGAGAUAAGUGUCCCAAUCUGAAGUGCAAUAAGGCUUUAUUGGGAAUAACAACAAUACUUGAAUUACAAGAAAUUGAAGAAAUUGCAUUACAAAUUUAUUGAUAUGACUAGAAAGAUCACUAGCAGAAACUAAAGAUAGAGAAUGGAGUAUGUAUAAACCAUCCACUUGUUUAGCCAAAUCAAUCUGCUUCAUUGAGAAUUGGUCAUGUAUAAUGCAUUGAGUAUGUGAGAAUUGCACAAAACAAGAUAAAGAAUGACACAAUUUGGCUACAUAGAUAUGAUUCAACUUAAAGGAAGGAGAAUAAAGAGCAUUGGUGAGAUAAAGCUGAGAACUAAAAGAAACAAUGUCAUCAUGAUUAACAAGGAUAGAGGUACCAUUAGGUAAAUUGACAUGAACAUGCUUAAUCUGAUAAAAUGAAGUAAAAGAAGCUAAGUUGCCAUAUAUGUGCUCAUUACCCCCAGAAUGUAAUAACCAAUGUGAGGUAGAAGGAAAAAAACAAGAAUGAGUAUUCAGAUUACCUACAGAAGAAGAAGCAGCAGUGUAAUUGGAGGAAACUUGAGGAGAAACACUAAUAUGGUUGGUAGUAGGGUCAGAUGUAGAAGCAGGAACUGAGGUAAACAAAUUUGUCUGCUGCAACAAGAAGAUAAGCUGAUCCAUCUUUUCUUGAGACAAACCAGUACUACCAGAAGAGUUGCUUGCAUCUGAAGCUUCAUUCGAAGUAGCAUUGGCCUGUGAAAUCUUCUUGUUCACAUUAGGAUAGCCAUGCUUUUGAUAGAAAAAGUCAAUUGUGUGAUUGUGUCUAUUUCAAAAAAUGCAAAACCUUGAUGAAGGUUUAGUGAAUGAACAUUUACCACGCCCUUAAGGUUUCUUUGCAUCAUAUGCAUUAACAAGCACAUUAUCUUCAGCAAGAGAAGGGAGUGAAAGAAGAGAAGUAUUAUUACUUUCUUCUUGUAAAACCAAAGAGAAAUUCUUAUUCAAGGUAGGCAAUGGAUCCAUCAAUAAGACUAGAGUCUUCACAGCAAAAAAUUGCUUAUUGAUGCUAGUUAAAAACUGAAUGAUUUGGUCCUCAUUUCUAUAUGUGUCAGUAACCUUAAGAGCAUCACAUCAACAUUGAUGAUGACAGUACAAUUUGGGAGAGGAGGAUGAGAAUGUAAUUCUUCCCACAAAGCUUUCAUUUCAGUGAAAUAAUCCAACACAAAUUUGGUAUUUUGCCUAAGAUUGUUAAUUUAAUUCCAGAACGCAAAUUGGCAAUUCUAAUACGAUCAAUCUUAGAAAAACGUUCCUUCAAAUCCUCCCAAAAAUCAAAAGCAUUAUCAUGAAACAAUAUAGUUUGAGAAAUUGAAUCAGAAACAGAAUUAAUAAUCCAAGACUAUACCAAAUGAUUGCAUCUUUCCGAAGCAUUACGAUUGAGGUCAUCAUGAUCAGGUACAGGUAGAGUUCCAUUGAUAAAGGGAAGCUUGUUCUUAACACCCAAAGCACGCUGCAUUGAUCUACUCCAUGCAAGAUAAUUGGAUCCAUUGAACUUAGGAGACACAAUCACCGAAUUAGGUCCUUCACUAUGAUGAACAAAGAAAGCAGAAUCAGUAUCAUUGUUGCUGUUGUUGAUUCGAAGCACGAACCAUCAUUCCAAAUCAGAGGAAGAAGAUGAAGAUCUUCGUAAGAAAUAAAUGCAGAGAAGCAAUACGCAAAGCUUGCGAAGGAAGAAAGAGAAGAAUCUCAAUACAAAAUUGAGAACAAAACAAGAAGAAUCAUGAAGAGAAAGAGAAAGAAAACUGAUACCAUAUUAUAAAUGAUAGAAAUAAUAUGUAAUUGCUUGAUGAAUCAGAGAGUACAACAACUAUUUAUAGGUAGUUGAUGCUGUACAAUACAUAUGAUGGACUAGCAUCAGCAUAUUAAAGCUACUACUAAGGUAAGCUAAGUUGCUUGUGGUCUAAGCUAUCUAAACCACUCUUAUUAUGUAAUAUAAAUAAAUCCUGAAUUAUUAAAAAAAUAAAAAAUAAGGAGUCCAA
rnacentral:lncRNA from 1 species